rnacentral:rRNA from 1 species
ACGGCUCAGUAACACGUGGCUAACCCACCCUUGAGACGGAGAAAACCCCGGGAAACUGGGGUUAAUCUCCGAUAAGAGAAGACCCCUGGAAUGGGUCUUCUCUCAAAGGGCGCCUAGACCAUGCUUCUAGGCGUUGCUCAAGGACGGGGCCGCGGCCGAUCAGGUUGUUGGUGAGGCAACGGCUCACCAAGCCUAUAACCGGUACGGGCCGUGAGAGCGGGAGCCCGGAGAUGGGCACUGAGACAAGGGCCCAGGCCCUACGGGGCGCAGCAGUUGCGAAGACUCCGCAAUGCACGAAAGUGUGACGGGGCUACCCCGAGUGCCGUCCGCUGAGGGCGGCUUUUCCCCGGUGUAAGGAGCCGGGGGAAUAAGGAGAGGGCAAGUCUGGUGUCAGCCGCCGCGGUAAUACCAGCUCUCCGAGUGGUAGGGAUGAUUAUUGGGCUUAAAGCGUCCGUAGCCGGCCCGGCAAGUCUUCCGUUAAAUCCAACGAUUCAAUCGUUGGACUGCAGGAGAUACUGUUGGGCUAGGGGGCGGGAGAGGCCGACGGUAUUCUCGGGGUAGGGGUAAAAUCCUAUAAUCCCGGGAGGACCACCAGUGGCGAAGGCGGUCGGCUAGAACGCGCUCGACGGUGAGGGACGAAAGCUGGGGGAGCGAACCGGAUUAGAUACCCGGGUAGUCCCAGCUGUAAACGAUGCGGGCUAGGUGUUGGGGCGGCUACGGGCCGCUUCAGUGCCGCAGGGAAACCAUUAAGCCCGCCGCCUGGGGAGUACGGCCGCAAGGCUGAAACUUAAAGGAAUUGGCGGGGGAG